UGCGUUUUUGGGCAAAAAACACAUGGAAUCUGCAUAUUACGUGGAUUUUGUGGCGUUUUCAAAAUCGCAGUAGAGAACCGUACGAAAAAUCUGCAGAACUCCUGGGGGGCAGGGAUGCCCCUCUGGUACUAUAGGGGAGAGGGUUCGGCUGGCUGAGACCAUGGGUGAAACUGCAGGAAAACAUCAUUCAAAUUUCUGCCCUAUCAACUUUCGAUGGUAGGAUAGGGGCCUACCAUGGUGGUGACGGGUGACGGAGAAUUAGGGUUCGAUUCCGGAGAGGGAGCCUAAGAAACGGCUACCACAUCCAAGGAAGGCAGCA
rnacentral:rRNA from 1 species